AUUGAACGCUGGCGGCAUGCCUUACACAUGCAAGUCGAACGGCAGCACGGGUGCUUGCACCUGGUGGCGAGUGGCGAACGGGUGAGUAAUACAUCUGAACAUGUCCUGUAGUGGGGGAUGGCCCGGCGAAAGCCGGAUUAAUACCGCAUACGAUCUACGGAUGAAAGCGGGGGACCUUCGGGCCUCGCGCUAUAGGGUUGGCCGAUGGCUGAUUAGCUAGUUGGUGGGGUAACGGCCUACCAAGGCGACGAUCAGUAGCUGGUCUGAGAGGACGACCAGCCACACUGGGACUGAGACACGGCCCAGACUCCUACGGGAGGCAGCAGUGGGGAAUUUUGGACAAUGGGCGAAAGCCUGAUCCAGCAAUGCCGCGUGUGUGAAGAAGGCCUUCGGGUUGUAAAGCACUUUUGUCCGGAAAGAAAUCCUUGGCCCUAAUACGGUCGGGGGAUGACGGUACCGGAAGAAUAAGCACCGGCUAACUACGUG
rnacentral:rRNA from 1 species